rnacentral:rRNA from 1 species
UGACGUCAAGUCAGCAUGGCCUUUAUGUCCUGGGCUACACACACGCUACAAUGGCCAACACAAUAGGUUGCUAAGCCGCGAGGUGGAGCCAAUCCUCAAAGUUGGUCUCAGUUCAGAUUGCAGGCUGCAACCCGCCUGCAUGAAGAUGGAGUUGCUAGUAACCGCAGGUCAGCUAUACUGCGGUGAAUACGUUCCCGGGGCUU